UACGGAGGGAGGCUAGCGUUAUUCGGAAUUACGUGGGCGUAAAGCGCACGUAGGCGGCUUUGUAAAGUAAGAGGUGAAAGCCCAGAGCUUCAACUCUGGAAAUUGCCUUUUAGACUGCAUCGCUUGAAUCAUGGAGAGGUCAGUGGAAUUCCGAGUGUAGAGGUGAAAUUCGUAGAUAUUCGGAAGAACACCAGUGGCGAAGGCGGCUGACUGGACAUGUAUUGACGCUGAGGUGCGAAAGCGUGGGGAGCAAACAGG
rnacentral:rRNA from 1 species